rnacentral:rRNA from 1 species
GUGCCAGCAGCCGCGGUAAUACGGAGGGUGCAAGCGUUAUCCGGAUUCACUGGGUUUAAAGGGUGCGUAGGCGGGUAAGUAAGUCCGUGGUGAAAUCUCUGAGCUUAACUCAGAAACUGCCGUGGAUACUAUUUGCCUUGAAUAUUGUGGAGGUGAGCGGAAUAUGUCAUGUAGCGGUGAAAUGCUUAGAUAUGACAUAGAACACCAAUUGCGAAGGCAGCUCACUACACAAUCAUUGACGCUGAGGCACGAAAGCGUGGGGAUCAAACAGGAUUAGAUACCCGCGUAGUCC